GUGACCUCUUGUGCAGUACAUAUACUAAAAUUGGAAUGAUUCAGAGAAGAUUAGCAUGGCCUCUGUGCAAGAUAACAAACUCAUGAAGCAUUCCAUAUUUUA
ensembl:snRNA U6 U6 spliceosomal RNA